AGUAAAUAAAAGCUUGUUUCAUAUCCCAGGUCACUGUUAUUUUAUUCAAUCAUAUAAAAUAUUCUUUUGAAAAUCAUAAAUGAAUGAAAUAUUUGCUGCCUGUGUUUUUUUUUGUGAGAAAAGUUCAUUUCCACUAAAUUUUCAAAGCCUUUCCACUGUUUAAAGUGCAAUCGUAACCUGUGUGUUAUUAUUUGGAUAAAUUCUUUGUCCAAUAAUCCACUAUUAAUGUGUUGUAAUCCAUUCUUGCCAAUUUGAGGUUAUGAAAUCUCAUUGUUCAAAUAAAAAUAGGGCCUCAAGUAAAUGUGAAAAUGAAUUUAAGCUUGGAAUUUGAGAAAACUCUAUGAAAAGACUACUUGAAUUAAAUUACUAUCUAAUUGAAUAGAAUAGAUAACAAUCAUAUUUAAUCUAGGUGAACGAAUAAUUACUUGUUUGUUGUAUUUUAUAAUGCUGUGUAUAUAAUGUUCUCGACAAGAAGUGAAAUCGUGCAAGCUGACGAUGAACUUGAGGAUAAAUGACAUUGACUUAGAGAGCAUCGGAUGAGUAUCACGGACAUGGAAAGACUUGAAUGAGUCUCAAUGAUCUGUAGAAAAUUGAUCGAUAUCAAUUCGUCCUAGAGAACGACCUCGUAACUUGCAACUAUUCCUUUCUCUACUUCCAAGUAAAUUAUUUAACUAUUAAAUAAAAAUCGAAAUACCAUUUUUACUUUAAUCAGUCGUAUGUCAAUGAUCAUUUUUAUCACUCAUAUCAUUUUAUUUAUUAAACUCAACUGACUUGUUUGCCUUCAAACACUCCAAUAAUUAUUAUUCAUGUCCAUUUUUAUCAUUAAUAUAUCCUUCUUGUUUCAAUGAAUUUCAACAAACAUUUAAUUAGCAAAUGUACUUUUUUAAAAUCAAAUUAAAAUGGUAAUUUAUUGAGAGGCUUUCUGUUAUUUGUUACUCGAUGAUUAUCACAUGAUGAUAACGAGAACAAUGAAAAUUGAUAGAAUUUUUCUAACCAAUUCUGAUAAACAAAAAAAAGGAGACUCCCAGGUAGUGAAGUGUAGUGUUGAGAAAAGGAUCAAAUGAGUGGGGGGAGGAGGAGGGAAGACUGGUGAAGUCGUAAGAGAAGUGAAAGUCAUGCGAAUGAAAGAGUGAGACAAGAAUUGCAAUGAGUGAGAGAAAGAAAACUAUGGAUUACGGAAAAGAAAAAGAGAAAGAUUGGUUCAAGUAUAGUAUAGAGGAUAAAAGAACGAGCGAGUGAAUGAGUGAAAGUGAGUUGGAAUACCGAAGUAGGGAACUUAAAAACUGGAGCAUUGCUUGCAUAAUGUUGAACAGUUUAAAUGGCUUAAGGCGUUCCGUAUCUAUACACAUAUACAUGCCUUUUUUUUCUCUCUGUCAGUUGGCUCUUGUAACGCCCAGUCAACUUACGGAUACAUAAAUUUUUAUAUAAAUUAACAGAGAGGACCGCUCUUGUGACAUACAAUUCACAUUAUUUGCUGUAUUACAAAGUUUUAAUUCUCGAUCUUGAUUGAAUGGUAUUUUUCCAAUACUCACUUUGAUAAUUCGUAAUAAUUUGGAACACGUCCAGCCACGAAAUUCUUGAUUAUGUAAUCAACACCUCAUGGGACGUAAUCUUACAACGAAAUAAGGGAUAUUACUAAAGAGAUCUCAGAGAGUCUAGUGAAUGAGAAAAAAGUAUCGUGAAUGACCUGUUGUUGUUUAUAACGAUCCCAUGAUUAAAGUUAGUCACGAUUUUAUCAGGAAUAUUAUAAAAGUAUUACAUGAAUAUGUUAAUAAAAUUUAGAAAAAAUAAUAAUUACAUUAUAGAGUGAUGGACAAAUAAUAAGUUUGAGAAAAGUCUUGGUUUGGAAUAAGAUGACGACAGGUCUUCUUCACGUGCAAAAUUGACUUGUUCAACUUAGCAAAGAGUCUUGAGAAUACUACUCGCGUGACACUACCAUAUUUUGUUUCAAUUACGUGAACACGUGUUAUUAAACUCUGAUUUCAACAGACUUACUUGUAAUUAAAUAAACAAUUAUA
rnacentral:lncRNA from 1 species